CCUACGGGGGGCAGCAGUGGGGAAUAUUGCGCAAUGGGCGAAAGCCUGACGCAGCGACGCCGCGUGAGGGAUGAAGGUCUUCGGAUCGUAAACCUCUGUCAGCAGGGAAGAACGGUCACUGUGCUAAUCAGCAGUGCAUUGACGGUACCUGCAAAGGAAGCACCGGCUAACUCCGUGCCAGCAGCCGCGGUAAUACGGAGGGUGCGAGCGUUAAUCGGAAUUACUGGGCGUAAAGCGCUCGUAGGCGGUAUGUCAAGUCAAGGGUGAAAUCCCCGCGCUCAACGUGGGAACUGCCUUUGAAACGGGCAGAAGGGAGUGUGGGAGAGGAUAGUGGAAUUCCAGGUGUAGGAGUGAAAUCCGUAGAUAUCUGGAGGAACAUCGGGGGCGAAGGCGACUAACUAAAACAUAACUGACGCUGAGGAGCGAAAGCGUGGGUAGCAAACAGGAUUAGAUACCCGGGUAGUC
rnacentral:rRNA from 1 species